AGUAUUUGGGUUAAAAUGUCUCUGCCACUAGUUUCAAAAGCAGGUGUAAAAUAAAUCCUCUUUAGCAGCCCAGAACUCAGUGUUCAAUAUGAGUUUUGGUACACACAGGAAGGAACAUG